GACGAACGCUGGCGGCGUGCUUAACACAUGCCAGUCGAACGAAGAAGCUCCAACUUUCUGGCGUGGAUCAGUGGCGAACAGGUGAGUAACACGUGAGCAACCUGCCCCUGACACUGGAAUAAGCGCUGGGAACGGCGUCUAAUACUGGAUACGAGAAGGGUCCGCAUGGGCAUUUUCUGUAAAGUUUUGCGUUUGGGGAUGGGCUCGAGGGCUAUCAGCUUGUUUGUGAGGUAUUGGCGGACCAAGGCUACGAAGGGUAGCCCGCCUGAGAGGGCUGCCGGCCACACUGGGCCUGAGACACGGACCAGACUCCUACGGGACGCAGCAGUGGGGAAUCUUGCACAAUGGGCGAAAGCCUGAUGCAGCGACGCCGCGUGAGGGAUGCCGGCCUUCGGGUUGUAAACCUCUUUCAGCAGGGAAGAAGCGAAAGUGACGGUACCUGCAGAAGAAGCACCGGCUAACUACGUG
rnacentral:rRNA from 1 species